rnacentral:rRNA from 1 species
AUGAAAGACUACAUGGAUAAGCGUUAUGCAAAGGUAAGAAUGCAAAACAGAGCCGACGCAUACCUGAAAAAGGAAAUACUGGCAGUGGUCAUUGGACAGCGGCUGAGACGACUUGACUAUCUGAUGCAGAUCCGUGUCCAUGAGCUCGGAGACCAAGUAGACAUCCUUGAAGCUCCUCCUAUGUAUCGGCAUCAUUAUAUCCUUCAAGGCAAUGACAUUCUCAUGGCGCAGGUGCCGAAGGAGCUUCAGCUCGCGCAGCGUCCUCAGCGCAUCCACGCGGUUGUCAAAGACGUUGUUUAUCUUCUUGAUGGCGACCUUUUCGUUGGUCUCCUGGUUGAUCGAGGAGCAAACUAUCCCGUAGGCUCCUCUCCCGAUGGGCUUGAUCGGCACGUACUUGGUGUCGAUCUCGAACAUGGUCUGCCACAUGGUGUAGUAGUGCUUCCCGUGGUUUCCCAUGCCAUUCGGGGGAUCCACCAUCAUCGCCAUUUUCUGCGGAGAAGAAGGAAACAUAGAGUUACCAGUCUAUUAAUUGAGAACAAAGGAAGCAUAACAAGGAAAAAGUUUACUAGUUUAGGGUGCCAAUUUAAUUUUGCCAAGUCUUAUCAGCUUGACCCAUGGUACUAA